GCCCCUGGACUUCACCAAGCACUUCGUCGCGGUGCCGACGGAGUUCAAGCUCAGGAACACUGGUUGUUCCUGGAAGGUGACGGUGAAGCUGAUGAACGGCAUGGUGACCCUAGAUCAGGGUUGGGCCACCCACGCAGCCGUUCAUUAGAUCAAGAUCGGCUACAUGAUGACCUUCAAGCUCCUCACUUCCGACACCCUCAAGGUUAUCAUCUUCGACGACAAUGGCAUUGA
rnacentral:rRNA from 1 species